rnacentral:misc_RNA from 1 species
CACAUUGAUGGAUGGAGGACAAAUAGGAUAGGUGAUGAGGGUUUAGUUGCAAUUGCUGAGAAUAGUUCAAAUCUCAAAGAAUUAGUGCUUAUCGGCCUGAAUCCUACGUCGACUAGCCUGUUCGCAAUAGCUUCUAAUUGCAAAAAGUUAGAAAGAUUGGCUCUUUGUGGUAGCGACACUAUUGGAGAUCCUGAAGUUACUUGUAUUGCCACAAAAUGUAUGGCCUUGAAGAAGCUGUGUAUCAAGGGAUGUGAAGUAACCGAUCAAGGGAUUGAAUCUUUCGCUUGGGGUUGCCCUAAUUUGGUAAAAAUCAAGGUGAAGAAGUGCAAGCAUGUGACAGGUGAUGUUGCAGAUAGGAUACGAGCUAUGAGGCAAUCACUAGCAGUGAAUCUUGAUGGUGGGGAAAUUGAUAUUGAACCUGUGGAUAGUAGUGCAAGUGAUGGUGGAGCAAUAGAAGAAGCAACAGAGUUUCAACAUACUGCAGCUGCACUGCCCAUAAUUGGUGCUAGUGAUAUUCCAUCGACGAGCAAUGUAGGACGAUCAUCAGCAUCCAAGCCAUGGUUUGGCUUUUUCGGAGGAAGGGGCCUCGUUGCCUGCACUCUCCGUAGGUG